AACGAUGUUUAUCACACCCACAGGAGAGAAGACCCACCUAAGCUUCCAAUAUCAUCCAACCAUAUAUAAAUAGAAAACAUCUCCAAAACUCUAGUCUCUAACGUGAUACAUUGCAAAAUUAAAAAUAAAAUCAUUUUCACACCUUUACUAUGGUUCAUGUCGAUCGCUCUAGGAUAUGAUGGUGGGUGUACAUACAUAUAUUUCAGUUACAAAUAAACAUAUGAUGAACUAGACAUAGAAGGUGAGCAUUUGUGUGUGGAGUGAUGCUGCAGGAAGAGCAUACGCGUAAUAU
rnacentral:lncRNA from 1 species